CACGUAGGGUGCGAGCGUUGUCCGGAAUUAUUGGGCGUAAAGAGCUCGUAGGCGGUGUGUCGCGUCGGCCGUGAAAACCUGCAGCUUAACUGUGGGCGUGCGGUCGAUACGGGCAUCACUGGAGUUCGGCAGGGGAGACUGGAAUUCCUGGUGAUAGCGGUGAAAUGCGCAGAUAUCAGGAGGAACACCGGUGGCGAAGGCGGGUCCUGCUGGGCCG
rnacentral:rRNA from 1 species